UACGUAGGGGGCUAGCGUUGUCCGGAAUCAUUGGGCGUAAAGCGCGCGUAGGCGGCCAGAUAAGUCCGGUGUGAAAGCCACAGGCUCAACCUGUGAAUGCCGCUGGAAACUGUCUGGCUAGAGUCCGGGAGGGGCGAGUGGAAUUCCUGGUGUAGCGGUGAAAUGCGCAGAUAUCAGGAGGAACACCAGUGGCGAAGGCGACUACCUGGCCUGUUCUUGACGCUGAGGCGCGAAAGCUAGGGGAGCAAACGGG
rnacentral:rRNA from 1 species